GGGGGAUAGCUCAAUGGUAGAGCGUGUGCUUAGCAUACACGGGGUCCAGGGUUCAAUCCCCAGUACCUCCA
rnacentral:tRNA from 1 species